GAAUAUUGGUCAAUGGCCUAACGGCUGAACUGGCAACUUGGAGAAGUGGCAAGUCUUCCAGUAUGGGGAGCAAAACAGCUAUGGGUCAAGUCCGAUAUCUUUAGGAGAAGUCUUAUUGUGAGGGCGAGUUAUAUAACACCAUAGGACUGGCCGUCCCAUAUGAAAAGAUUAUAUUAGAAUUGAAUGAAGCUUUGUUUAUAUAUUGAUAAUGACAGUAUAUAUAUCGUGUCUUGACUAAUUGCGUGCCAGCAGUCGCGGUAAUACGUAAGAGACUAGUGUUAUUCAUCUUAAUUAGGUUUAAAGGGUACCCAGACGGUCAAUAUAGCUUAUAAAAUGUUAGUACUUGACUAGAGUUUUAUGUAAGAGGGCAGUACUUGAGGAGGAGAGAUGAAAUUUCGUGAUACCAAAGGGACUCUGUAAAGGCGAAGGCAGCCCUCUAUGUAAAAACUGACGUUGAAGGACGAAGGCACAGAGAACAAACAGGAUUAGAUACCCAAGUAGUCUUUGCAGUAAAUGAUGAAUGCCAUAGGUUAGAUUGAUCAAUUAUAGUCUAGGGUUAGUCUAGCAAACUAAUGCCCUAUGAUAUAAUUCAAAAUAUCUGGUCUAUAAAUGAAAGUGUAAGCAUUUCACCUCAAGAGUAAUGUGGCAACGCAGGAACUGAAAUCACUAGACCGUUUCUGACACCAGUAGUGAAGUAUGUUAUUUAAUUC
rnacentral:rRNA from 1 species